CCGUUCAUGUGGUAUCUUAGCCUUCAUGCUCCUGGUCCCAGCUAGUCUGACCCCAUGCCAUCUGCAGGGAAAAGGAGAUGACAAAGAGAAGUGUUGCAGCUACUUGAGGAAAAAGCUGGCUCUUGCUCAUCUCAAAGGCCAGUACUGCUCAGAACCAUUGCAGACCUGGGGGAUUCAAGCUAACCAGUCCUGACUUCGCAUUGGAGCUGCGGAGGAGCAUUCACACACUCGGACACUGAUCUCGGCUGGGAGGUUUGAAACACCUUGAAGCAUCCAAUGAAAUCCAACAUCUAGUCAGCAAUUUCCCAUUAACUUGCAAGCAUGUAACUUCUGAGGAACCAAGUCCGCGAUUGUCUCUCUGCUUAUGACAGUCUCUGUUUUGACCCUUGCUUGGAGACAGGCAUAUUAGAUGGAGUUGUGGACGGAACAGACUUGCGCUGCGUGACAGAGAGUUCUUCGUUUAGAGUCACUUCUGCUGAUUCCGCCUCCUUGGUGAACCUUUUCCUUUAAGUCACCUCUGGGAAGCAGCACUACCUGGAAGCAGCAGGCAUCCUUCAGCAAGAGAUCAAGAUUCAUGCCAGCAUGACACUGCUGGAUAAGCUGCAGUGUUAGAGCUGCAGCUCUCCCCCACGUGGAUGUUUGUGGCCCAGAGACACGGGCCCAUCUUCAAGGCCUAACUCCUGCUGAUCCUAAUGGGCCCGACAGUGGCAGACUGCUUGCACAGAAAUGCUCCUUCACAUUCGAACACUGGAUUCCCUCUAAUGAAAAACCACAUCAUGAAAUCUCUGAAAGGCCAAAAAAAAAAAAAUCAUAGCAUCACUGAUUUUCGUUAUAACUGUCACACCAUGGAUUCAGCUCCUUCAACCAUUUGUUAUAAAGCUCAGGAGGAACUAGGGGGAGUUUGGCCUGACACUCAGCAGGUCUGGCACAUAGACCUGGGAGACUCCAGAGGCAAGAUGCUUACUUCCCUUCUCCUUGCUAUGCCUCAUGUAAUGGCAUGGCAACAGAGACGGUGUGACACGCAGAUCCCAGUUCUGUCUGUCUUACGGGCCUUCAACGCACCCUUUUCCCCACCACCGCUCGCUGACACGGGAACACGGUCACAGUACCCAGCGAUCUGCAAUACUCCUGGAUGCUCUUGUACCUGAAUGGUCUCAGUAUAUGAGAAAAGCAAAGCCUGCACAACUUUACAUAUUAGGUUUCUGAAGCGUGUGAUGAAUGGGAUGCUGUGCAGCUGAAAGAGCACAAGUCUCAAAUGGCUCACGCGGGGUUCUCAUAGUGAACUGGCUGUGAGUUGCAGCUCUCUGACAAGGGGAAUGGUUGCUUUUCCCUCGGAGGAACACUGUCUGAAACGUGAAAGCAGUAGGUACAACACCAAAGUCUGAAUACUGAUGACCAGGCCUUCUUGGGUGGUAUCAGGGCUGACAAUCCUUUCCCAGGUCAUGGUUUCUAGACACCGGAUUCUUGUUGCAUUACAUGGCUCCAAAGUAUGGCCUGCAUCUGUAGGUAUGGCUCCUAAAACACAAUACAGGACUCCAUCUUAUCACUGCUGAAGAGGAUUAUACACAUCUUAACAUCUUAUCCAUGUUUACUGUGAAGUUUCCUUUUUUAUUCCUGCAUCAAUGUGACACCAUUGACCAACAGGCUUUCUUCCUGCACCCAGAUUAAACAGGAGACUGUUCAGCCUGUCCUGCAAGAACGAAACAAGGAGGGAGGCUGAUUCACACUCCAGUCUUCCACAGUGAUCUCAAAACCUCCUUCAGUCACGUCUGUAGAAUUCAGGAAAACAAAAUCAAAUGAUCAGCAAUAGUAAAACCAGGGUGAGAGAAUUCAGUGGUUCCAUCAGUGGUCAGAGAUCAAGUGUCCUAUUUCCGCGGUUGUCAGACCAAGCAGACAGUGCUGAAGCUAACCUGGGCAUGCUGAUGGCUCACAUCUCCUGACUGCAGUGCUGGCAUCACUUCCAUGAAACUUCCUGAUGAGGCUGAGGAUUUCAAAAACAAAGAAAUAAAGGCCAGAUCUUGAUCAAUGUUUUCUGUGGUUCUUUUACUCCGUUCUUUUGAUACUGUCAGGCAAAGGGCAACUAGCAAAGCAUGUUUUUGGUUUGUUUGUUUAUUCUCCUACCUAUUUUUGUGUUUCAUAAAACUACUGUCCAGUUUAGUUUGACCAAGCAUUUCUGCACAAGGGGAAUCCAGUUCUGAAAGCAUGCAGUAGGGCUGGACUGAGGUGCAUUGGCAAGAGGGGGACAUGGCUUGCCUGCACACUGCUUGCCUCUGGUUCAUACUUCAUUGCCCAGAUUAAUUACGUUUUUAUUUAAAGCAGUCUCUUAGAAGUCUCUUUGCAAAUCUCCAGUCUUCUAAGCAGAACCCAAACAGAAGCUCUGAUAUGAGCUGUAUCUGCUAUUUAAAAUACCUAAGGAACCUAUAAAAUACAGAGGGAAAGUGCAAUGAAAGUCCUGCACUCCUCAGAAGUGUUAAUCCUGCUAUGAGUGCUAAACUGCAGAGCCCUAAUGAUGCACCGAGUGCUUCUUAUGUCUUUCUGUUUCUUGCCAUUUGCAACCACAAAGUAUGGAUGAGCAAAAAAAAUCUGCCUUUUUCCUUUUAUUAGAUGCAGGGAACUCUUUUUGUUUUGGCAGUGCUUCUAUUUGUCGUUCACAAAGUUUAUUUUUCUCUCCUGAGUUUUUUGGGAGCUUUUUAUUUCCUGUCAGUGUGGAGGAGAAAGCUGUUCUCGUCUGUAAGUUAUGCGCCCCUUACAGUGCCCCUUAGUUACACAGCACAAGGAAAGGAGAAACAGAAUCUAUGGCAUCGUGCAGAAAUGCUGCACUAUACAGUUUGCCCUGGUUAAACAUUCCCAGAAAGGGAAAAACGCAGUGCAGUGGAGCUCUUGAAUCUCUUUUGGCCAUUGUGCUGUAGAUAAUAUAGGCACUUAGGGGCAAACUGAAACAGUGUUGGAUUCUGGGCAAAUUUCCUUCAAGAUCUGAGCUGCAUAGACCAGAAUUAGUUCCUCUUUAUUUCCUCUGUACAACACUAUCUCCUUCAUAUCUAAAGAAAAUGACAUCUGGAGCCUUGAAAAGCAAUACUUAGCAGCUGUGGGAGAAUUUCAGACAGAUUCAUUUGUCCACGUGCCCCAAACUUCACCCACCUUUUUUGAUCUUUAUCCAAACAACUUAAAGUAUGCCUGCAAAACAGGGAUGAAGAUCUUGUAUGUACAGAUUUUUUUCGUCAUAUGUAAUUCUGUCAUUUUUGCUUGCAUUCCAGAUAUUCAGGGAGAUGUCAACCUGGAAAGAAAAAAAGUGGUAAUUUAACUAAACAUUUUUCAGACCCAGCAGGAAGCAAGACCUGCCAGCCUCAAACAACACCCUCUUUCUUCACAUUAGAAAUGGAAACACGUCCUCUGCAGGAAUUUUCCACUUAAUAGCUCCUGCUUUCCUACCGGGGGCCUCAGUGCACCACCACUGCAAUGCUGUAUUUCUUUCCACUGCAGUUUGACAUUUUGCAGCCAGAACAAGGAGCAGCAUUCACUCCAUCCCCGCUUGCGAAAAACAUAGCUCUGUGGGCGCCCAGAAUGCACCCAGUGCAGCCGUCCCCGGGGGAAAUGGCAGAGGUAUUUAAACAUCACUUCAUGUCACUGCGGAUAUGACAUUGUCUGGUAAUCGUGAUCUUUUGUAGUCGCUUUUCCGUCCUCCCCCAGCCCUCCCCCCGCCACACACGCACGCCCCCCCGAGCCUCUGCUCUGCUCGCCCCGUACGAGCCAGUCGCACGUUGAGCACUCGACUGUAAUUGUUUGCCUUUGUGAAUUAUUUCCUGUGCAGCAUAAUAUUUACAAACUGUAUAUCAGGUCCUGACACUGUGAUGAGCAGAAAUGCAGAUUGCAGAUAAUCUCAGCAGUAAACAAGGAGUCUGCUUUAAAAUGCGCUGAAUGACCUGUCUGAAAGCAGCAAUAUUUGCAGACUGUUUACUGCUGCGACGCAGUGAUGUGGUCUGAAACGCAGCAGCCUAAAGAUUGGAUCAAAAUGGGAUCUCAGAGACUCGGUCAAGCAAACCCUGUAAUUAUUUUGGUGUUUGGGGCUUUUUUUUGGUUUUAACAUAGGGCUUUAUUACAAAUUAAUAAAAGCUCAUUUCCAAAAAUC